AUUACCGCGGCUGCUGGCACGUAGUUGGCCGGCGCUUCUUCUGCAGGUACCGUCACUCACGCUUCGUCCCUGCUNAAAGAGGUUUACAACCCGAAGGCCGUCAUCCCUCACGCGGCGUCGCUGCAUCAGGGCUUCCGCCCAUUGUGCAGUAUUCCCCACUGCUGCCUCCCGUAGG
rnacentral:rRNA from 1 species